rnacentral:rRNA from 1 species
CUCGUAGGUGGUUUGUCGCGUCGUCUGUGAAAUUCCGGGGCUUAACUCCGGGCGUGCAGGGGAUACGGGCAUAACUUGAGUACUGUAGGGGAGACUGGAAUUCCUGGUGUAGCGGUGAAAUGCGCAGAUAUCAGGAGGAACACCGGUGGCGAAGGCGGGUCUCUGGGCAGUAACUGACGCUGAGGAGCGAAAGCAUGGGGAGCAACA